AACAAUAUCCUGAUGCUGAAUGAGU
rnacentral:miRNA from 8 species